UGGCGGAGUCGAAGUUCGGAUCGAGCCACCUGGCCUUCUGAUAAUCAAGGACUGCACAAUUGCCAUUCGUCAUACCGACGUCAAGAUGUUGAAAGCGCUGGUCCUUUGUUUCCUACUUGCGGCCGCGGCAUUGCCAGGCCCCUCCGAGGCCUUCAUGAGACCUUGCGACCCAAUAAAUGAUUCAGCAGACUGUAGCGAUCGUACUGGAUGGGUUUGCGGACCAUUAACCGUUGGUGGAAAUAAAGUAAUAUAUGUUUGUCAAAAUGGCAGCAAAUAGUCCUGGUCAAAACGAUUAUGAUGAACGCAGGCGAAAUAGAACGAGUUCACCAAAGCGACAGAAGUCGUUGACAAUGGAAAAGUUUUGAUUCUUGACACAUUGUUGUCAAUAUGCUGUAUGGCUUGGAUGUUAAAUAAAGACGACAAAUAUUUGA